UACGUAGGGUGCAGGCGUUAAUCGGAAUUACUGGGCGUAAAGCGUGCGCAGGCGGUCUGCUAAGUGAGGUGUGAAAUCCCCGGGCUUAACCUGGGAACUGCGCUUCUAACUGGCAGGCUUGAGUGUGGCAGAGGGGGGUGGAAUUCCACGUGUAGCAGUGAAAUGCGUAGAGAUGUGGAGGAACACCGAUGGCGAAGGCAGCCCCCUGGGCUAACACUGACGCUCAUGCACGAAAGCGUGGGGAGCAAACAGG
rnacentral:rRNA from 1 species